UUUUUUUUAAUUAUAAACUGAUCGGCGAUUGGCCCUAUAACAUAUAAUAUUCAUGUAAUCCUGGGUUUUUGUAUUUAUUUAUAUAGUUGUGAUUUUUACUAAUCAUUCCUUUACCAUUGUUUGAGAGCAUGUUUUUAUAUUUUGUAUCCUUGUAAAUUAUGGGCUUAUUAUACAAAUAAUUAAUAUGACUUUAGAAAAAUGUACAGUAAAUAAGGCGUGUAAUCAAUUCAAUUUGUAAUUAGAAUUAUUGUUGAAUAUAUAAAAAGACAUUUUUAUUCGGAAUUAAUUGUACUGUACUUAAAUUACAGUUUGCCAGUUGUUUAUUUCGAUUGAUAUUUUAUUGUUAAAAAAUUGUUGUUUAUAUCUGGUGAAUUAAAUGAUUUGAUGGUU